UAAAUCCUUACCUCUCGCAGU
rnacentral:miRNA from 1 species